GAAAGAUUGCCUCUGGCUGUUGUGUGCAUUUGUGAUUGAAACCCCCAGUAUAUCCUGUUUCUAACACCCUCUCUACACAUUCUGUGGUAGCAGCCCAUCCUCUGUCUUACUUUCUGUUCUCUAACUGAUUUCUUUUAUAAUACCACACAUAAACGAACGUUAGAUGAUUCAAGAAAAUGAGAAUCCAACUGAUCGAAGAAUUGGUCAUGGUUACUUGCAUUUAGUGUCGUAACCAGACUGCAGCUGACCCAGUACGCUACCAUCCCUUGGAACUCCACGACUGCAGUGAGCUCCUGCCGACUUCCGGGUUUCUGACUGCUGGACGCUGCAUCUACCAAGCGAUGGGGGGAAACAGAUGAAGCACCCACUCCUGAAUCCCCAGCCAAUGCCUGUGCCACAGAACAGCCAAAUAUGUAGUCUAAUGACUAUCGCAGGAGAAGAUCUGUUUGUGGUUAGAAGAAUCUUGAAUGAAUUAUGGGAAUAAUCAGCUAGAAGAGCAUGUCUUUCUUCUGUGGUUGCAAUAACAAGAAGUAGGAGGGGGAGAAGGAAAAGGAGAAAGAGGAAGAAGGAGAGGAGGAGGAAGAAGAGGAGGAGAAGAAAAAGUGCCACUGCCAACCUAGUGAAUCCGAUAAAAGAGAAACUUCUGAUAGAUUGACAUGAAAGAAAGCUGUCAUUUAGGAUCAAUAUCCUAAGUGUUUAUUUAAAUGCUUUAUGGAUGAGCUGUUGAGUCUUCUGCUCUUCUGGUGAAAGAAUUAAAAUCUAGCAAUGUUUCCAGACUCCUUUUUGACUUGACUCUGA
rnacentral:lncRNA from 10 species